GACAGAGGGUGCAAACGUUGCUCGGAAUCACUGGGCGUAAAGGGCGUGUAGGCGGGACGGUAAGUCGGGCGUGAAAUCCCUAGGCUCAACCUAGGAACUGCACUCGAAACUACCAUUCUUGAGUGUCGGAGAGGAAAGCGGAAUUCCUGGUGUAGAGGUGAAAUUCGUAGAUAUCAGGAGGAACACCAGCGGCGAAGGCGGCUUUCUGGACGAUAACUGACGCUGAGACGCGAAAGCGUGGGGAGCAAACAGG
rnacentral:rRNA from 1 species